AUUGAACGCUGGCGGCAUGCCUUACACAUGCAAGUCGAACGGUAACAGGUUAAGCUGACGAGUGGCGAACGGGUGAGUAAUGUAUCGGAACGUGCCCAGUCGUGGGGGAUAACUGCUCGAAAGAGCAGCUAAUACCGCAUACGACCUGAGGGUGAAAGCGGGGGCUCGCAAGACCUCGCGCGAUUGGAGCGGCCGAUAUCAGAUUAGGUAGUUGGUGAGGUAAAGGCUCACCAGGCCGACGAUCUGUAGCUGGUCUGAGAGGACGACCAGCCACACUGGGACUGAGACACGGCCCAGACUCCUACGGGAGGCAGCAGUGGGGAAUUUUGGACAAUGGGCGCAAGCCUGAUCCAGCCAUGCCGCGGGCGGGAAGAAGGCCUUCGGGUUGUAAACCGCUUUUGUCAGGGAAGAAAAGGUUCUGGCUAAUACCUGGGACUCAGGACGGUACCUGAAGAAUAAGCACCGGCUAACUACGU
rnacentral:rRNA from 1 species